rnacentral:rRNA from 1 species
GACGAACGCUGGCGGCGUGCCUAACACAUGCAAGUCGAGCGAACGGACCAGAGGCUUGCGUCUCUGAUGUUAGCGGAGGACGGGAGAGUCACACGUGGAUAACCUACCUAUAAGAAUGGGAUAACUUCGGGAAACCGGAGCUAAUACCGGAUGAUAUUUUGAACCGCAAGGUUCAAAAGUGAAAGACGGUCUUGCUGUCAGUAAUAGAUGGAUCCGCGCUGCAUUAGCUUGUUGGUAAGGUAAAGGGUUACCAAGGCAAGGACGCAUAGACGACCUCAGAGGGUGGUCGGCCACCCUGGAACUGAGACACGGCCCAGACUCCUGCGGGAGGCAGCAGUAGGGAAUCUUCCGCGAUGGGCGAAAGCCUGACGGAGCGACGCCGCGUGAGUGAUGACGGUCUUCGGAUCGUAAAACUCUGUUAUUAGUGGAGAACAUAUGUGUUUUUAACUGUGCCCAUCUUGACGGUACCUGGUCAGAAAGCCCCGGCUAACUACGUG